rnacentral:rRNA from 1 species
UACGGAGGGGGCUAGCGUUGUUCGGAAUUACUGGGCGUAAAGCGCACGUAGGCGGCUUUGUAAGUUAGAGGUGAAAGCCCGGGGCUCAACUCCGGAAUUGCCUUUAAGACUGCAUCGCUAGAAUUGUGGAGAGGUAAGUGGAAUUCCGAGUGUAGAGGUGAAAUUCGUAGAUAUUCGCAGGAACACCAGUGGCGAAGGCGGCUUACUGGUCCAUUACUGACGCUGAGGUGCGAAAGCGUGGGGAGCAAACAGG